AUUCGAACCAACGAAGCACUGGGCCGCCUGCAGCAGAGCGCGCGAACUUAACCACUCGGCCACGGGGCCAGCCCCAGCAAUAUGCCUUUUUGAUAGGCAUACCCCAGGUUUCUACCGUCUGUGGAACAUGGAAUCAAACCAGAAUAUGUUGGCAUAACAGGCCAGUCAAACCGGUUCUUCUGUGGAUCCAGAACCCGUCCAACCAGUCUGCAUCAAAGGCUAGCCCAACAAGCUGCAGCGGCUCAGCUCUGCUAAGCUUGUACCGGCAUGGCUUGCCAAGUGGUGCCAUGUCUGCAGCCAGGAUCCGAGCCGGUGAACCCUGGGCCGCUGAAGCGGAACGUGUGAACUUAACCACUGCACCACCGGGCUGGCCCCGAGAGAGAAGAAAGAUGGAUUGCUUAUAAAUGAAUGACAGUCUGAUGGAAUAUUUCUCAGCAGCAUCAACAGAAUACUGCAAUGAAGUGGUAUCUUCGAAGAGCUGAGGUAAAUUAAUUGUUUACUGGAAAGUCAAUAACCCUCUGAAAUAUAAUUCAAGAGCAAAACUCACAGAUCUUUUCUGAAAGAACACUAAGUGGUGUACUUCAGUCAGAAGAAAACGGAAUGCAGAAGAAAGGAGUGGGGCGUAAGAGCAAUGUGGAUCAAAGAGACUGGGAAAUGUAUUGGUAAGUCUUUAUAAACACUAACUAUAAAAUGUAAUGUUAAGAAUCAUUCUGUGAGAUAGAGGGCUCCUCAUUUUUACAGAUGGAGAAAAGAAGGGUGG
rnacentral:lncRNA from 1 species